GGCUUUACAGAGUGUGAAGUAAAUGGUGCAGCAAGUAUAAAUGAAAGAAGAAGCGGGGGCGGUAGAAGAACUUAAAUAGCAGAUUUUAAUCCGUGGAGACACUACAAGCACAUAUGUAAUAUUCAAAAGAUGCUGCAACUGCAGUUCUUAGUAGUUGGAGUCAGAAAACCAAGCUUCGAUAUCAUGACAUAACAAAAGAUACAAUAAAAAUUGCACGGACAUAAUAGUUGUCAGGCUUCCAUAACAACGUUACCAAGUCGG
rnacentral:lncRNA from 1 species